rnacentral:rRNA from 1 species
UGGAAAGUUCCGGCGGAGAAGGAUGGGCUCGCGGCCUAUCAGCUUGUUGGCGGGGUAACGGCCCACCAAGGCGACGACGGGUAGCCGGCCUGAGAGGGUGACCGGCCACACUGGGACUGAGACACGGCCCAGACUCCUACGGGAGGCAGCAGUGGGGAAUAUUGGACAAUGGGCGAAAGCCUGAUCCAGCAACGCCGCGUGAGGGUAGAAGGCCUUCGGGUUGUAAACCUCUUUCAGCAGGGACGAAGCGCAAGUGACGGUACCUGCAAAAGAAGGACCGGCCAACUACGUGCCAGCAGCCGCGGUAAUACGUAGGGUCCGAGCGUUGUCCGGAAUUAUUGGGCGUAAAGGGCUCGUAGGCGGUUUGUCGCGUCGGGAGUGAAAACUCAGGGCUUAACCCUGAGCGUGCUUCCGAUACGGGCAGACUAGAGGUAUGCAGGGGAGAACGGAAUUCCUGGUGUAGCGGUGGAAUGCGCAGAUAUCAGGAGGAACACCGGUGGCGAAGGCGGUUCUCUGGGCAUUACCUGACGCUGAGGAGCGAAAGCAUGGGGAGCGAACAGGAUUAGAUACCCUGGUAGUCCAUGCCGUAAACGUUGGGCGCUAGGUGUGGGGACCUUCCACGGUUUCCGUGCCGCAGCUAACGCAUUAAGCGCCCCGCCUGGGUAGUACGGCCGCAAGGCUAAAACUCAAAGGAAUUGACGGGGGCCCGCACAAGCGGCGGAGCAUGCUGAUUAAUUCGAUGCAACGCGAAGAACCUUACCUGGGUUUGACAUAUACCGGAAAGCUGCAGAGAUGUAGCC